AUGGGACCAUCUAGUUGCAGGAAAACCACCUCAGGGCUCCCACUGACUCUACCUUAUGUUUUUCCAUUUAAUAUGUGGACCAAAAAAGCACAACUGGACCAAUUUAUAAAAUAAACACACUCCUUUACUACAACAAUUCAGGAAACUAAAUUUUCAAGAAUGGAAGGAAUGGUUAUAUGGUUAAAACCAAAUGCUAAUGUUGGAUACAUUUAUUAAUUCAAUAAAUGAAUAUUCAUUUAUCUAUUUACUGAG
rnacentral:lncRNA from 1 species